rnacentral:rRNA from 1 species
GACGAACGCUGGCGGCGUGCUUAACACAUGCAAGUCGAGCGGUAAGGCCCUUUCGGGGUACGACGAGCGGCGAACGGGUGAGUAACACGUGGGUGACCUCGCCCUUACGCUCUGGGAGUAAGCCUGGGAAACGUAGGGUCGUAAUACCGGAUAUGACUCCAUGACGCAUGUUGUGGGGUGGAAAGCCUUGUGCGGCUAGGGAGUGGGCCCGCGGCUAUCAGCUUGUUGGUGGGGUGAUGGCCACCAAGGCGACGACGAGUAGCCGGCCUGAGAGGGCGACCGGCCACACUGGGACUGAGACACGGCCCAGA